rnacentral:rRNA from 1 species
AGAGUUUGAUCCUGGCUCAGGAUGAACGCAGAGGCUUAACAUGCAAGUCGAACGGCGCCGGGUGCUUGCACCUGGUGGCGAGUGGCGAACGGGUGAGUAAUACAUCGGAACGUACCUUAUCGUGGGGGAUAACGCAGCGAAAGUUGCGCUAAUACCGCAUACGCCCUGAGGGGGAAAGCGGGGGACCGUAAGGCCUCGCGCGAUUAGAGCGGCCGAUGUCUGAUUAGCUUGUUGGUGAGGUAAAAGCUCACCAAGGCGAUGAUCAGUAGCUGGUCUGAGAGGACGAUCAGCCACACUGGGACUGAGACACGGCCCAGACUCCUACGGGAGGCAGCAGUGGGGAAUUUUGGACAAUGGGGGCAACCCUGAUCCAGCAAUGCCGCGUGAGUGAAGAAGGCCUUCGGGUUGUAAAGCUCUUUUGUCAGGGAAGAAACAGCAGCUCUAACACAGUCUGCGAAUGACGGUACCUGAAGAAUAAGCACCGGCUAACUACGUGCCAGCAGCCGCGGUAAUACGUAGGGUGCGAGCGUUAAUCGGAAUUACUGGGCGUAAAGCGUGCGCAGGCGGUUAUACAAGACAGGCGUGAAAUCCCCGGGCUUAACCUGGGAAUGGCGUCUGUGACUGUAUAGCUAGAGUGUGUCAGAGGGGGGUGGAAUUCCACGUGUAGCAGUGGAAUGCGUAGAUAUGUGGAGGAACACCAAUGGCGAAGGCAGCCCCCUGGGAUAACACUGACGCUCAUGCACGAAAGCGUGCGGAGCAAACAGGAUUAGAUACCCUGGUAGUCCACGCCCUAAACGAUGCUGACUAGUUGUUGGGAAUUUACAUUCUCAGUAACGUAGCUAACGCGUGAAGUCAGCCGCCUGGGGAGUACGGUCGCAAGAUUAAAACUCAAAGGAAUUGACGGGGACCCGCACAAGCGGUGGAUGAUGUGGAUUAAUUCGAUGCAACGCGAAAA